rnacentral:rRNA from 1 species
UGGGGAAUAUUGCACAAUGGGGGAAACCCUGAUGCAGCGACGCCGCGUGAACGAAGAAGGUAUUCGUAUCGUAAAGUUCUGUCCUAUGGGAAGAUAAUGACAGUACCAUAGAAGAAAGCUCCGGCUAAAUACGUGCCAGCAGCCGCGGUAAUACGUAUGGAGCGAGCGUUGUCCGGAAUUAUUGGGCGUAAAGGGUACGCAGGCGGUUUAAUAAGUCGAAUGUUAAAGAUCGGGGCUCAACCCCGCAAAGCAUUGGAAACUGAUAAACUUGAGUAGUGGAGAGGAAAGUGGAAUUCCUAGUGUAGUGGUGAAAUACGUAGAUAUUAGGAGGAAUACCAGUAGCGAAGGCGACUUUCUGGACACAAACUGACGCUGAGGUACGAAAGCGCGGGGAGCAAACAGG